CUAGCUAGCCAGCUUCUACCGCACUACCCAUGCAUUCUAGCCAGCUUCUACUGCACUACCAAUGCAUUCUAGCUAACCAGCUUCUACUGUACUACCCAUGCAUUCUAGCUAGCCAGCUUCUACUGCACUACCCAUGCAUUCUAGCCAGCUUCUACUGCACUACCCAUGCAUUCUAGCCAGCUUCUACUGCACUACCCAUGCAUUCUAGCUAGCCAGCUUCUACUGUACUACCCAUGCAUUCUAGCUAGCCAGCUUCUACUGUACUACCCAUGCAUUCUAGCUAGCCAGCUUCUACUGCACUACCCAUACAUUCUUGCCAGCUUCUACUGCACUACCAAUGCAUUCUAGCUAACCAGCUUCUACUGCACUACCCUUGUUCACUUUUGGCACGUUUUUCUCCCUGCCCCCUACCUUUGGCAAUACAUGAAGUACCCUAAACAUACACGAAGUACCCUAAACAUUAACAGAUCGUAGCCCAAAGAGAUCAGGCUACAGCAAGUAUGACCAACCAAACCAAGUCUACAGAUUUAAAACACACAGAGCCGUGUGCAACCAACUUUAUUUGACAGGAUGAAAUAAUACACGAGGCAAACAUGGAAAGACUGAAGAGUGAAGGUGUAGACUCUGUGAAGGUGUAGACUCUGUGAAGGCGUAGAUUCAGUGAAGGUGUCGUGUGAAGGUGUAGACUCUGUGAAAGUGUAGACUCUGUGAAGGCGUAGAUUCAGUGAAGGUGUCGUGUGAAGGUGUCGACUCUGUGAAGGUGUCGUGUGAAGGUUUGUAAGACUCUGUGAAGGCAUCGACUCUGUGAAGGCGUCUUUCAUGCCUCUCUGUUGUUCGGCCUCAGAAAUGUAUUACUGUGAUUCUGGACAGCUGAACACCUGUAAGUAGUGAAGGACAUUUAGACGUCUGUGGGACAGUUUUCCAACCAUAACAUUGCGAAACACUUACAGUGAGUUUUUCCAACUUGAGACCCUUGAGAGGAGGAAUGACCUAUCGAACUACAGCAACCUUGUACC